rfam:Asian citrus Psyllid, Diaphorina citri - Florida Strain, whole genome shotgun sequence.
AAAUCGGCCCUUUUCAGGGCCACCCAACUCACCUUUAAAUCAGCCCU